CGUCCUUGCAUUGUAACAUGAACAAAGUCAUUUUAAAGGUUAAAUCGUUGCAACCGAACCAGGCUACACAUUUAACACCUUCUGUAACACGCUGCUACAUAUAUAACGCGCGCGACAAGCAUGGAGUUGCACAUCUGGAUGCGCGCACUUGAGCUGCACGCGAGCUGCCAAUGCCGCAGCCUCGUCAGGAGAGCUAGCUUUUCCCUGGAUAAAAGACAAAACCAUUCUUCAAGGCCAUUUGUAAAAACCCACGAGACACGGCGUAAUGACUAUAAAGGUGUGAACGGCAUCAAAUACUGAAGCCUUUCCCGCUUCUUCAAUGCAGUUCACCUUACAGACGCUUACUUCUACCCUACAAUUCUUGAGGAAACUCUUUAAGAUAAUAAGGUGGAUUUGCAGUGAAGGAGGGAUGGCAGAGUGUCAAAGGAGCGAGACCUGCUGUGGUGCGUUCAAGCGCUCCGCUGCCACGCACUAACGAACUUCCAACAUCUUGUCCCGUCACGGCAAUUACACACACACAUACACAAAAACACAGACAAACACACAUGUACACAGUGUUUACAUUUACAAUAAUACACAUAUUCCCAUUGCCAUACGCACAGCCUGUAUAAAUAAAGGAAUGUGGAUUUAGUUAUGCGGAUCCAAUAUUAUUAAUGUUAUCUGUCUGUUGGACUCAAACAUUGACUAAAGAUAUAUCAGUUUUACUUACUUAUAUACUGUACACUAAUUUGACAGCCAUCAUAACAUUUAUGUGAUGAGCAAUGUUUAUCCAUGCUUU